rnacentral:lncRNA from 10 species
CACCUUUUUGUCCUGUUCCGGCUUCCACAGAUUGGACGAGGCCCACCCACCUUGGGGAGGGGCCAGCUGCUGUGUUCAGUCCGCCAUUGCAAACACGAAGCUCUUCCAGAAACGCCCUCACAGACACCCCGGAAGUCACGUACCCACUCUGUAGGUGCCCCGGGGCACAGGCAAGCGGACGAGCCAGUUAUCCCUCAGAGCUCCUGCUGCCUCGCCCGCUUUCUCUCGGAAACGUGAAGUGUGGCCUCAGCUGAAAGUGAGGUGGGCCUCAUUCAAUCAGUUGAAUUCUUCAAGAGAGAAAAACUGAAGUCCCUUAGAAGGAAAGAGUUCUGCCUUCAGACUGUCUUUGAACUUAAGACUGUAGCGUCGACUCCUGCCGGAAUUUCCAGCCUGCUGGCCAGCUCUGCAGAUUCACACUUGCCAGCCUCCACAAUCGCAGCUGAGGCGGAGGAACCCUAAGGGCUCAUUGAGAUCAUGGAUUUGCCCUUCUAUGCAUUGAUGGAGCACCUGCUGCCCACAGCGUCUGUAUUUGGUGCUGGGAUGCUGAGCCUCCUUCUUUAUGAAUUUUUAAAAGGACACUGAGAUCUUCAAACAGAGGCUGCCACUCUAAGCAAACAGAUCCCGAGCCCUGGACUCUGAAGCUUGGGCCCAGUUCUCCUUUUCUCCGGGUUUCAGAUCCCACUGUGAAGUGAGGGGGCCCUUCUGAUUCAGGACCCGGGGAAGCCAGGGGCAUGAGCAUCGGUGCCUCUUCUCUAUUUCAAGGACCCUUCUGGGUGUAAAGUUCUCUGAGAUGCCUUACAUGGAUUCCCACCACUGCAAGAUAACCAUCGUAUGUAAAGUGUUAUGACCAGCAGAGCGUAAUUGAAGUGCAUUCCAGAGGGAAAGACAGCGGCUCAGGAGUGCUGCAGCCCUCCGCAGUUAAGUUCCCC